GUCUCUGUGGUGUAGUGGUAGAGCGCGCCCCCAGUAUAGGUGAAACACGGUUUCAACUCCCGUCUGAGGACG